GCUUUAAAUGACCAUAAAAUCUGCAAGAAAAAUUCUAAAAACUAAAACACCCAUCCCUAGAAAUAGUUCAUCACUGUAAUCUAGGUUAGGAAGUAGUUAGUGUUGGUGAUGGAUGAGCUACGAGAAGCGGUUGAGAGGGCGGAACUGGUGGACGGCCACGCUCACAACAUCGUGGCUCUGGAUUCUUCACUUCCCUUCCUCUCUUGUUUUUCUGAAGCUUCCGGGAAAGCCUUAGCUCAUGUUCCUUCUACCCUUAACUUCAAGGGGUGCGAACGAAAAUAUCCAAGGGGUGCGGUCGGAAUUUUUCAAGGGAUGCGGACGAAAAUUUCCAAGGGGUGCGGUCGGGAUUUUUCGCGAAAAAUACCACUAAUUUUUUUUUCAAGGGGUGCGGCCGCCCACCCACCCCAUAAGAGAAGCCUGAGGGACAUUGCUCGUCUCUAUGGCUCUGACUUAUCUCUUGAAGGAGUCCAACAAUAUAGACUUGACUCUGGAAUUGAAAUAAUCACAAAAAUAUGCUUCAAAGCUGCAGGAAUCUCUACUGUACUCGUAGACGAUGGAUUGGUGUUAGAUAAGAUGCUUGGCACAGAUAUUUUGCCUUGUGCUGGUAGAAUACUUAGGAUUGAGCGUCUAGCCGAGGAUAUUCUUGAUCAAGGCAUAAAAAAUGGGAUUCCUUGGACAAUGGAUACAUUUACUGAUAGUUUCUUAGCACGAUUAAAGUCAGCAGAUGCCACCAAAGUGGUUGGUCUAAAAACCAUAGCUGCGUAUCGCAGUGGCCUUGAAAUUAACCCAAAUGUCACCCAGAAAGAGGCCGCCGAGGGUCUUGCUCAAGUUUUGCUUGCUGGAAGUCCUGUACGCAUCACAAACAAACACCUUAUCGAUUAUAUCAUAGUGCGUAGUUUGGAGGUGGCUCUGUGUUUCGACUGGCCCAUGCAGAUACAUACAGGAUUUGGAGACAAAGAUUUGGAUUUGAGGCAGGCUAAUCCCCUUCAUCUGCGCAAUCUUCUUGAAGACCGUAGAUUCUUGGACUGCAGAAUAGUGCUUUUACAUGCAUCCUACCCUUUUUCAAGGGAAGCAUCGUAUUUGGCAUCUGUUUAUCAUCAGGUGUACCUUGAUUUUGGUUUGGCAGUUCCAAAGCUGAGUGUUCAUGGCAUGAUAUCAUCACUCAAACAGCUUUUGGAGCUUGCGCCGCUAAAGAAGGUGAUGUUCAGCACUGAUGGAUGUGCAUUUCCGGAAACGUUUUACCUAGGUGCAAAGAGAGCACGUGACGUUGUUUUCAGUGUUCUACGGGAUGCAUGCAACGAUGGUGAUCUUUCGAUUGAUGAAGCUGUUGAAGCUGUUGCCGACAUCUUUGCUGAAAAUGCAAAAAAGUUUUACGGGAUUGGUACUGCUGUCAGAUCUGAUACCUUAUUAAAGUUGGAUAAUGAUGUGAGAAAGGAGGUUAACUCUACCCAACAAGAUGUGGUGCUUGUUCGUGUUUUAUGGGUAGAUGCUUCGGGACAACACAGAUGCCGUGUUGUCCCUCGAAAACGGUUCGAUAGUAUUGUGAAGGAGAAUGGGUUAGGUCUAACCUGUGCCUCCAUGGGCAUGAGUUCCGCAAUGGAUGGUCCGGCUGAUGAGACUAAUCUCACAGGAACUGGUGAGAUCAGACUCAUACCAGAUUUGUCAACAAGAUGCAAAAUCCCAUGGGCGAUGCAGGAAGAGAUGGUUUUGGCAUACAUGCACUCAAAACCUGGUCAAGUGUGGGAUUAUUGCCCAAGAGAAACACUAAGGAGACUUUCACAACUUCUCAAACAAGAAUUUAACUUGGAAAUGAACGCUGGAUUUGAAAAUGAAUUCUAUCUAUUAAAGAGUCAGUUAAGGGAUGGUCAAGAAGAAUGGGUUUCAUUUGACACGUCACGUUACUGUGCCACAUCUUCGUUUGAUGCUGCUUCACCUAUACUACAUGAAGUUGUUAAUUCACUACACUUCCUUAAUAUUGAUGUAGAACAGCUACAUGCAGAGGCGGGCAAUGGUCAGUUUGAAAUUGCAUUACGUUACACAACGUGUACCAAAGCUGCAGAUAACUUGAUUUAUGCCCGUGAAGUUAUUAGAUCUGUUGCAAGGAAACAUGGGUUGCUCGCUACUUUUAUGCCAAAGUAGGUAUGCAUUAGAUGACAUCGGAUCGGGUUCACAUGUGCACAUAAGUUUGUCCGAAAAUGGGGAAAAUGUAUUUGCAGCUUCUGAUAGGUCGUCGUCACGUCAUGGAAUGUCCAAAAUUGGGGAAGAGUUCAUGGCUGGUGUUCUACACCAUCUUCCAUCACUUUUAGCUUUUACAGCACCACUCCCAAACAGUUAUGAUCGUAUACAACCCAAUACAUGGAGUGGAGCUUACCUUUGCUGGGGUAAAGAAAACAGAGAGGCUCCCAUCAGAACUGCAUGUCCACCUGGCGUUCCCGACGGAAUUGUCAGCAACUUUGAAAUCAAAGCAUUUGAUGGAUGUGCAAAUCCGCAUCUGGCUCUUGCUGCUGUUAUUGCUUCCGGAAUCGAUGGUCUUCGCAGACAUCUUUCUCUCUCUGAUCCUGUUGAUGAGAAUCCUGAUAUACUACGCGACAAACUCCAAAGAUUGCCGGUCUCUCUUGCAGAAUCAGUAGAAGCUCUUGCAAAAGACACUGUUUUAGAAGCUUUAUUAGGAGAAAAACUGCUGGUUGCGAUAAAAGGGGUUCGCAAGGCGGAAAUCAAGUACUACUCUGAGAAUAAGGAUGCGUACAAGAAACUGAUAUACCAGUACUAACAAAGCUCAUGUUUGGAUUCGUACUAUCGGUGGAUGUUUAACCUCAUGUUUGAAUUACGUGAUUUAAUUUAUGAGACAAUUUUCCAUCAACAUUGUUUGUUGUAACGUAAUGAGAUGUUAGAUUUUUCUAGGUAUCAUGGACAUAAAUUAAUAUCUAUCUAUAUCUAUAUCUAUUAAUAAGGCAA